AGGCAGUUUGACUGGGGCGGUCGCCUCCUAAAGAGUAACGGAGGCGCCCCAAGGUUCCCUCAGAAUGGUUGGAAAUCAUUCGAAGAGUGCAAAGGCAGAAGGGAGCUUGACUGCGAGACCUACAAGUCGAGCAGGGACGAAAGUCGGGCUUAGUGAUCCGGUGGUACCGCAUGGAAGGGCCAUCGCUCAACGGAUAAAAGCUACCCUGGGGAUAACAGGCUUAUCUCCCCCAAGAGUCCACAUCGACGGGGAGGUUUGGCACCUCGAUGUCGGCUCAUCGCAUCCUGGGGCUGAAGUAGGUCCCAAGGGUUGGGCUGUUCGCCCAUUAAAGCGGUACGCGAGCUGGGUUCAGAACGUCGUGAGACAGUUCGGUCCCUAUCUGUCGUGGGCGUAGGAAAUUUGAGAGGAGCUGUCCUUAGUACGAGAGGACCGGGAUGGACGUACCGCUGGUGCACCAGUUGUUCCGCCAGGAGCAUGGCUGGGUAGCUACGUACGGACGGGAUAAGCGCUGAAAGCAUCUAAGCGUGAAGCCCCCCUCAAGAUGAGAUUUCCCAGUAUGUAAGACCCCUUGUAGACGACGAGGUAGAUAGGUUGGAGGUGGAAGUGCAGCAAUGCAUGGAGCUGACCAAUACUAAUCGGUCGAGGGCUUAUCCAA
rnacentral:ncRNA from 1 species